CUUGGUUGCUACACCUUCUUCUUUUUUUUUUGUUUUCUUUUGUUUGCAAGCAUAAUUUCAGGAGGGCAUCCUUGAGUCUUCCCGCGGAGCACACAAGCGGUCUGCCCUCACAUCUGGAAAGCAUGCAUCGCGCUGUAUUAUUUUAAGCUUCAAACAACUUAGCAGACACUCCCACUCAACAAGUGAAUUGGGAACUGCGGUUUGCAGGCCAACCGCAACUUUCCAACAUAAGAACUUUGAAUGAUGUCCCCCAGACUAAUUUUGCCUUCGUGUUGUUUUUCUUUAGGCACCUCUGCCACACUGUUGAAUAUGUUGGAGCUCACGUUUCACCACGUGUGAGCCAACAGUUACCUCCCGUUCUGCUCUGUAAUUUGGAAAGUGUACACAAUUCUGAAUUUUGUUCAUUUCAAGAAGCAGAAAAAUUAGUUUAUAAACCUUUUGCUAAAAUAACAAGGGUCUGGUCUUUUCUUCCUUGCAGGUCUGGAGACAGAAGCAAUUGCCAAAGGCGGAGUUUCCUUUUCUACUGGGAGGUCAGCCACAAUACUGUCAGAGAGAUAGUGUAUUUCACUCACAUAGCUGCCAGUGGUGAGCGUCCUGGGCUGCUGUCACUGUCGUUGCUGUUUCCAUGGUCCAUCGCUCCAUUCAUUUCUUCACGGAUGGCGUUUGCCAAGGAGUUGAGGGUGGGACUUCCAAUGGAAGCAGUUGUGUAUAGAGCAGAGAAAUGUGUAACAAGAAAUUCCUGGGAGAUGUGGUUGCAUUCAUUGAACCUUUACUCGUAAGGUUUUCAUUGGGCGUUACGCUCCUUCACAAGUGUCAAUUCACCAGUCACCCAGUCAAGCAAGACAUCCAGGCACGAGAUGUUGACUGUGACUGCAGAGACAAGUGCACAUGUCGCCUGCGCACAUCAAUAGGCCCCUGUAAAUAAAUGAUCCAAGCUUCGCAGCGUGAUGAGAGACAGGACUCCUGCAUGUGUUUUGUGCAUUUAUGUACGUGUGGGUGUGCGCGAUGAUCUUUGGCUCUUGGAGCGAUAAAAAGAGCUGUCAUUCAGACAGAUACAUGGUCCCUGGCAUGACAGAAUAGCCCAUCCCCUUAAAAUGCCAAGUGUUAAGCUCUUGUCUCUGUAUGAUGAGGUUUAGACUUUAUGGCAUUUGGCAUGUGAUAAAUAAAUGUAGUUAGUAACUUCAAUGAAUGGGUCACGGUCAUCCUUUUUGUAAAACAGUAUAUGUAAUUUAUUCUACAUCAAUAUCUAAUAUAUAGAAACAUUAUUCUAUUGCAUCAUCUAUUAUGUAAGAGUUUAUUUUUUAAUAUGUAAUCUUAUUUUGCAAUAUAUGUAAUG